rnacentral:rRNA from 1 species
UGGCGGACGGGUGAGUAAUGUCUGGGAAACUGCCCGAUGGAGGGGGAUAACUACUGGAAACGGUAGCUAAUACCGCAUAACGUCGCAAGACCAAAGGGGGGACCUUAGGGCCUCUUGCCAUCGGAUGUGCCCAGAUGGGAUUAGCUAGUAGGUGGGGUAAUGGCUCACCUAGGCGACGAUCCCUAGCUGGUCUGAGAGGAUGACCAGCCACACUGGAACUGAGACACGGUCCAG